AAGCAUUUGGGUGUAUAUUACGAUUCAUAUUAAAUCAGAAUACCAAAUUAUUGGAGAUGAGCGUGGAUAAAUAGAGGGCUCCACUGACACAGAAUAUCAGAUCGCCACAAAUCCUAGAAUCAAAUCUAAUUACAGAUUGGCCACGAGUUUCCAGAAGCGGGCCGUGCAAUUUUCGAAAUUACGGGACACGUAGGGGGAAUAUAUACGCGUAAUUAGAAAAGUCGUUGAAUUCCUGGAAGCCGGAGACCGAUGAUUGACCGCGCGGCCGGCUUAAAUGAAGCGACUGGCCGGUCGGUGGCUCGUAAUUAUCGAGAGGCUCGGGUUAAUUGGCUUGACCGCCGCACUCGUCCCAUUCUCAACGCGUUUCGCUGUAAUUUAAAGUAAUGCAAUCCGGUUUCUAAUUAGCUCACUCUAUUAAAA